rnacentral:rRNA from 1 species
UACGUAGGGUGCAAGCGUUGUCCGGAAUUAUUGGGCGUAAAGAGCUCGUAGGCGGACUGUCGCGUCUGCUGUGAAAACUCGGGCUUAACCCCGGGCCUGCAGUGGGUACGGGCAGACUAGAGUGCGGUAGGGGAGACUGGAAUUCCUGGUGUAGCGGUGAAAUGCGCAGAUAUCAGGAGGAACACCGGUGGCGAAGGCGGGUCUCUGGGCCGUAACUGACGCUGAGGAGCGAAAGCGUGGGGAGCGAACAGG